GUGUCAGCCGCCGCGGUAAUACGGAGGAUGCGAGCGUUAUCCGGAUUUAUUGGGUUUAAAGGGUGCGUAGGCGGUUCGUUAAGUCAGCGGUAAAAGCCCGGGGCUCAACCCCGGCGAGCCGUUGAUACUGGCGGACUUGAGUUGGAGAGAAGUAUGCGGAAUGCGCGGUGUAGCGGUGAAAUGCAUAGAUAUCGCGCAGAACUCCGAUUGCGAAGGCAGCAUACCGGCUCCAUACUGACGCUGAGGCACGAAAGCGUGGGGAUCGAACAGGAUUAGAUACCCUGGUAGUCCACGCAGUAAACGAUGAAUACCGGCUGUGUGCCCCGCUAGAGGGGUGCGCGGCGAAGCGAAAGCGAUAAGUAUUCCACCUGGGGAGUACGCCGGCAACGGUGAA
rnacentral:rRNA from 1 species